rnacentral:lncRNA from 1 species
ACACAGAAGUCAAGUUUUGCUCUCAGCUUCAUGGUUUUGAUCAUUUUUUCCCCAGUUAAUGUCCACAUGGCUUAGAAUGUUAUAUUCAAUUUUGACACUCUGAAGGAAUCAAGCUUUCUUGUUUUUAAGUAAAAUUUCUUUCAACUCAUGACCACAGAAUAUGAGGAUAAUACUCUCUUGGGGUGAGUGAUGGCUAUUUUCGGUUGUCAACUUGACGCUGUCUGGCAUGAACUACAAUCCAGAAAUGGAGGGCACACCUCUGAUCCAGAUCUUGAGUCGGGGAGAAAACACACCUUUGAUCUGGAUCUUGAGGCGGGAAGACACCAAGUUUGUGAUCUAAAUCUUGAGGUGAGAUGACGCACACCUUUAAUCCAGCCAGAUCUUCAGGCACGGCUUUAAUGUGGGCCAAAUCUUCUGCAGGAGGCCUACAUAAGGGCAAUGAAGAAGGAAGGGUUUGCUUUUCUUUGCCUGCUUGCAUUCCCUUUGCCAGCAUAUCCAUUGGGGACCACUUCUUCAGGAUCCCAGCUUAUCCUGAAGACCAGCCGAGACAAUCAGCCUUGUGGGGCUGAGCAACUACCAGAUGCUUGGACUUUCCAUUCUCAGCGGCCCAUUGGUAUAUAUGGAUUCAUUCCAUAAAUUCUGUGACUCUAGAGAACCCUGACUAAUACAGAAGAAUGUCCUAGAGCAAUUGCUUCAUGCUUAGUACUCACAACAGAAGGCUGCAGGUCGGAAGCCAACUUACACACACACACACACACACACACACACACACACACACACAACACACACACGCCGCCCCCUCUCCCCCCGGGUGUGCAGGAUGAAUGUUCUCGAGAAUCAGUUCUUAUAGCACAGAUAGCAGAAGAAGCUGGCAAUCUCUCGAACCAGAGGAAGAAUCAUGCCCAGAGUUGUGAACAACUGUUCCUGUAGCCUAGACACAGAGUACCGUAGAGAACGAGUUUGAGUGCCACAGCUCUGCAGUACCUUGUUUGGGCCCCCGGGCGGGACAAAGCUUUUGCUUAAUCCUUAGGUGAGGUGACAGACUGGUAGCCAUGAUUGAUCAAAAGUUGGCUGCUUGACUAGUGGAAACCUAGCUAACUAAAUUGGGUUUUGGUUACAAACACAUGAAGUUGUGUUGAAGUUGACUAGCCAGGACUGAAAAUACAGAUGCAUUCCCAGGCUAAUGUUAAUCUCACACUGUUGAGAAAGACGCAUCUCCUAUUCGGGCUUCGCUAUUUGCAUCUGAGGCUGUAGUAGGACACAUUAUCUUUGGAGUUACUGAUAUUUCUGAGUCCAUUUUUGGAUCCUGAUCUAGUGGAGAAUGGCAUCCGUGUCCUUGUCUGAACUCUGCUUGCUCAAUCAGUUGUCACUGCCAUUACAUUCUGGGCCCUGAUGGGUAAUAGGUAAUUCUGGAUUCCUCCCUGCCUUUUAUGGUUAGGAGAAACUGAGAGCACUCUUGUAAGCUUUGUGAAAUGCAAUGCCAGCAUGCACUAGCAGUCUGACUGGUACAUUAAAGAAAGACAUGGUGUCCAUCCCAGGAACCUUUGGGAAUCAUUGGAUACUUGCAAAAAGAGUCACCAUGUCAGGGUAGAAGGAAUAGAGACAGUGACGAUAGGAGACUUAUUACUACAAACUUGGAAUACCUAUUUACAAUGCAUCUCCAAUGAUUCCAGAAGGUUCCGAUGACGAGGUCAGAUCCCCAGGAGUUAGAGUUACAGAUGUCCAUCUGUAACAGCCAUAGAGCUGUCCAUCCCGUGUUCAGGGAACUGAACUUGUGUCUUCCAGAAGAGCAGCGAGUGCUCUUCACUGCUGAGCUAUGUCCCCUAUUCCCUUCAUCUGCUCUAUUUAAACUGGUGAUCUCAGCACUUUGAAUGACACCUAUCAGGUAGCUGUUGAGUUACAAGGGGACGGCUAUCGGUGUGAAAAAGGUGACUUUCUCUCUAUGGUGACAUCAUGACAGCCGCUGAGAUGCCCCCUACACCACCUCUCCCCACACCCCCAUCACUGUCACCCACAUACUGGAACCUGAGGUUAGGAAAUGAUUUUUCCUCUUUGCCUGGCAUCCCACCCCAGUUCUCUCUCCUGGAGCAUUGCCCCCUGAAUUCCUUUCUCCCACCAGAUGGCACUAUGUCUUCAGUAUUCAGAGCUACAGGUUUAUUGAAAUGAGGCUUCUUUGUUCUCCCUGCUACUCGAACCUUAACGAAUGGGUUUAAAGACCUAUUCCAGGCUAACAUCAUGAAUACCUUUUUUUUUUUUUUUAAAUGGCAGGCAGCCUAGCUAUAUGAAAGUUCGUGAAAUAUUUAUAAAAGCCAACUAAAAAGGCAAUAAAGACAUUGAUUUCUACAGCCAAAGCUGAGAUUUUGAUGUCACUGACAAUCAAUGUUAAGAUGUUACCACUGGGCCCUUAAUGCAAAAACUAAAAGAGAUAAAGGAAUGAUAAACCAGGCUGGAUGUGGCAUGCAUAUGCAUAUGCAUAUGCAUAUGCAUAUACAUAUACAUAUACAUAUACAUAUACACAUACACAUACACAUACACAUACACAUACACAUACACAUACACAUACCCAUACCCAUACACAUACAUGUACCCAUACACGUAUACACACACACACACACACACACACACAUACACACACACACAUACAUACAUACACAUAUACACAUACACAUAUGUAUAACAUACUAUAUCGUUUACAUGGUCUCAUCUAUCAGGAAAACUUACAGAAUUCAGGUUUGAUGAAGAGCUUUGGGUGUUGCGCUCUGGGGUCUUCUGGCCACUGGUACCUCUGAGGUAGCCUGAAGUUCAUGGAAGGAAAAGUCUGAUUAUUUCCCUCCCAUAAGGACAGGGUCAUUAGGUGUGGGCUUGAGGGUUUAGCUCCGGGUUUGUGCAGGCAAAGGGAACAGAGAAGUCACACACACACAAUCAUCCCCUCAGCUGACAUGGAACUAUAAGCAGCCUGGGCAACACACUUUCUAAGUCUACUUACUAUUCUUCCAAAGUAGCUGCGAAGGCUCCUAGUUUCACAACAUACCCCACAACCAGCAGCCUGGGAAGCUCUGAGGAGGUUUAUAUAUAUCUAACCUAGAGGCGUCUUGUUCAGUCAUAAAACAAUGUCUUGUCUGUAAUUUUACUAUUAUUCCCAGGAAAUCAGACCCUUAGAUGGACAGGCUGAAUGCUUCACAGAUCUGAUGGCUUCCCUCCGUGCAUUCUCUCUUCUUAUGAGUACAUUAAAUAAUAUUAAUAUAUUUUUAGUAAGUGACUUUCUUGGAGAAAUACUUCAGAGUUUGUUUUUUUUUUUCCUACUAAUAAGACUUCCAGAUAAACACAUUACAAACCAACCUAUGAAUCAAAUUCUUGAUGGUAGCUAUUUCCUCUUAACUUUGUUUAAAUUUAUCUCAUACGGUACCCUUUGCAGCACUGCUAAAUUCUUAUAUUAUCUUAAAGAGGAGAAACAUCAGUAAAUUAAAAACACAUUUUUUUUGUGAGUGGAUUAAUAUGAACUGUCAUCCAUGUGAAAAGCAGUGCAUAGCUAUUGUGUAAAAACAAACAUUUCCAAUUUCUCCCUCUCAGAGUAAUGCUAAUGGCGUCAUGCUGGUGGGCAGCGCUCUCUCUCUCUCUCUCUCUCUCUCUCUGAGAUAAUUGUCUAACUCACACAUAACCCCUGAUUCUUCUAUGUGAUCACUUGGUAUUAGACUCCUAUUAGGGACAAUUAACAGGCACAGACUUAAGGGAAGUGAAAACAGAUAUAAAGAAAGCACAUGGCAGAGACGGAGUACGGGGUAGAGAUAAGAACUUGUGAUCGCUGAGAGCAACAGGAGUCACAGACAGCACCCUCGUGUCUCGGCUUUGACCAUGGGCCCUUCACUGAUUACCAGAGAGGAAGGUUCAACUCCCAACCGUUUUCCUGACCAGCUGCCUACUAUUUUGAGAAAAGCAUGCUUAUUUAGAUCCCAGAACACACUGGUGGAAUAUGUCUUCUAAGGAAAAUCCUAGAAUUAUGAAUAACAUGUUAAAUGAAUGAACACGUGGAUCUAUUUGCUCUUUUGGGUGUUCGUGUAAACCAGAGAUGGAAGAUAAGAUCCUAUGAACUUUGAGCCUUGAAAAGACAAAACUAAUCGAUUGUCCAGCUGUGCUUUGAGUGCCUCCAAGACUGUAGCACACAGACAGCUCUUAUCCAGAACACAUUAAUCCAACUCAGUCCCCAGAGCUCAGACUUGGUGUCUCUGUCUGCAUUUGCCUAAUCUAAAUAUCUGAGUUGUUUCAUGCUUUGAGCCUGUGUUAUAUAUAUCCAGACACCGAUAUACAUACAUAUUUAUCUAUGUUUACCUUCAAUGUUUAUACCUGGUACAGUUCUUUGUAUAAACAUGCAACUGUCUGUAUACAUACGAAAAUACAAAAUAUUAAUUAUUGGUAUGCUCUUUAAUGAUGUUAUAAUGAUCUUGAUUUAAUAUUUCAUAUUUACUGUUUUUCAGUAACACAUUUUAUUUGGAGUCAGAAAAAUGAUAUUACUAUAAAAUCCUAA